rnacentral:rRNA from 1 species
GGCUACAGCCAUGCCACCCUGAACAUGCCCAAUCUCAUCUGAUCUAGGAAGCUAAGCAGGGUCGGGCUUGGUUAGUAUUUGGACGGGAGACCACCUUGGAAUACCAGGUGCUGUAGGCA